UACAGAGGUCUCAAGCGUUGUUCGGAUUCAUUGGGCGUAAAGGGUGCGUAGGUGGCGCCGUAAGUCGGGGUGUGAAAUUUCGGAGCUUAACUCCGAAACUGCAUUCGAUACUGCGGUGCUUGAGGACUGGAGAGGAGACUGGAAUUCAUGGUGUAGCAGUGAAAUGCGUAGAGAUCAUGAGGAACACCGGUGGCGAAGGCGGGUCUCUGGGCCGUAACUGACGCUGAGGAGCGAAAGCGUGGGGAGCGAACAGG
rnacentral:rRNA from 1 species